GUCGGGCUUCAUUACUGAGAUAUCUUUCGAUAGGUGAAAGAAAAAAAGAAUCUGACAAGUUAAAUCACUGCUUGUAAUUUUUCUCUAUUUUGGUGGAUAUGUACGCUGGUAUUUUGAAGGAUUAUUAAUCUGAAAUUUAUGUAUGAACAGGGUUUCUGUUGCUGCCAGCUGUAUGAGCUUCUGAUCCAGUAAAUAGUGAAUUUGGGAUGGUGAUAAAUCUACAAAGUGAAAAACAAUCAAGAAUACAAAGGAUGAAUGAUA